rnacentral:rRNA from 1 species
AACGAACGCUGGCGGCAUGCCUAACACAUGCAAGUCGAACGAGACCUUCGGGCCUAGUGGCGCACGGGUGCGUAACGCGUGGGAAUCUGCCCUUGGGUUCAGAAUAACAGUGAGAAAUUACUGCUAAUACCGGAUGAUGUCUUCGGACCAAAGAUUUAUCGCCCUGGGAUGAGCCCGCGUAGGAUUAGCUAGUUGGUGGGGUAAUGGCCUACCAAGGCGACGAUCCUUAGCUGGUCUGAGAGGAUGAUCAGCCACACUGGGACUGAGACACGGCCCAGAAUCCUACGGGAGGGAGCAGUGGGGAAUAUUGGACGAUGGGCGCAAGCCUGAUCCAGCAAUGCCGCGUGAGUGAUGAAGGCCUUAGGGUUGUAAAGCUCUUUUACCCGGGAUGAUAAUGACAGUACCGGGAGAAUAAGCUCCGGCUAACUACGUG